CACAUAUCAAGCGAUCAAGUGGAGAAAUAACUACAACAAAUCUUCUCCAGUGUGGAAUUUCUAAUUCUCUGAUUGAGAAAUUAUUCUUCUGACUCUCAAAAUGAAUCAUGGUUAUCUAAAGAAAACUGUGUAACCCUUCUGUAAGUAUCUGGAGAAGCUGAGAGGAGCCCUGAUGUUACCCUGUACCAGGUGACUACACAGUCAAGAACUGAACCUGAGUCUCCCUAACACCUAACAGGAAUCGUUCAGCUACUCCACAGUAACUCAUUCUGGUGGCCAUUUCCCUUCUGCUACUGCACUUAACCUAAUGACAACCCAGUUUCACAAUGGCUGCAAAUCAGAGUUGGAGCCAAACCUACUUGGGCACGCGAGCCCCAGCGCCGCGGCUUGGGGAGAGCCGAGGGCGGCCGCGCUGCCGCGGGCCUCACGCCGAGGCUCCGGGAGGAUCCAGGCCCGGUAGAAGCCGCUCGGCUGCAGCCCAGGUACCACCGCCCCGGCCGGAGCAACUGUGGAGACAGAAGCGACGGAGCGGCGACCCAGGGACGACUGACUGUGUUUCUGCAAGGAGCUCGCCCCCCGGGGAUGUCCUUACCUACAACAGGCGCAGUCUGCACCAAAUCGCUCCCUGGCCGGAGAGCCACGCGCACCCGCGGCCGAAGGUGGAUCCCGGCACCAAAGGCAGGGGCAAGGAGCUGC